rnacentral:rRNA from 1 species
UUAGAUACCCUAGUAUAUUUUUGAUUUAUGAUUAUUAUGUAUCAGAAAUUUUAAAUUUUUGGCGGUAAAUUAUUAUGAUAGAGGAGCUUGUUAAAUAGAAUUUACUCUAUAAAUUUUAUUAAUUUGUGUUUAUUUAUUUCCGUUAUUAGGUGAGAACUUUAUAAAUUUACUUUUUAAUUUCAGGUCAAGAUGUAGCAAUAAUUAAGGAAAAUUAGCUACAUUAAACUUUUUAUGGAUUAUCUUAUGGAUAUUACAUUAUGAAAUUGAAUUUAAUUGUAUUUUAAUUUAAAAUGAUUAGAUGAAAAAUUGUAAUUUAUGUAUAUAUUGCCCGUCACUUCUUUUGGUCAAAGAGAAUAAGUCGUAACAA